UGGGAACUGCGUUNUGAACUGGGUGACUAGAGUGUGUCAGAGGGAGGUAGAAUUCCACGUGUAGCAGUGAAAUGCGUAGAGAUGUGGAGGAAUACCGAUGGCGAAGGCAGCCUCCUGGGAUAACGCUGACGUUCAUGCCCGAAAGCGUGGGUAGCAAACAGGAUUAGAUACCCUAGUAGUCCACGCCCUAAACGAUGUCGAUUAGCUGUUGGGCAGCAUGACUGCUUAGUAGCGAAGCUAACGCGUGAAAUCGACCGCCUGGGGAGUACGGUCGCAAGAUUAAAACUCAAAGGAAUUGACGGGGACCCGCACAAGCGGUGGAUGGUGUGGAUUAAUUCGAUGCAACGCGAAGAACCUUACCUGGUCUUGACAUGUACGGAACCCUCCAGAGACGGAGGAGUGCCUUCGGGAGCCGUAACACAGGUGCUGCAUGGCUGUCGUCAGCUCGUGUCGUGAGAUGUUGGGUUAAGUCCCGCAACGAGCGCAACCCUUGUCAUUAGUUGCCAUCAUUAAGUUGGGCACUCUAAUGAGACUGCCGGUGACAAGCCGGAGGAAGGUGGGGAUGACGUCAAGUCCUCAUGGCCCUUAUGACCAGGGCUUCACACGUCAUACAAUGGUCGGUACAGAGGGUAGCCAAGCCGCGAGGCGGAGCCAAUCUCACAAAACCAAUCGUAGUCCGGAUUGCACUCUGCAACUCGAGUGCAUGAAGUCGGAAUCGCUAGUAAUCGCAGGUCAGCAUACUGCGGUGAAUACGUUCCCGGGUCUUGUACAC
rnacentral:rRNA from 1 species